rnacentral:rRNA from 1 species
AACUUUCCAACACACACGGGAUUCUCUUUGGGUUUCUGGGCACUCGAAUGAAAGAAACGCAGCGAAAAUGCGGAUAAGUUAGGUUGUGAAAUUUGCAGAAAUUCAGUGAAUUCAUCGGAAUCUUUUGAAACGCACCAUUGCGCCCCCUUGGUAUUUCCCAUGGGGCCAAUGCCUGUUCGAGCGUCCAUUUU